UGGAAUUCAACGCUCAUUAGGGGGCAGUCGAGCGGAUGAGGGAGCUUGCUCCUGGAUUCAGCGGCGGACGGGUGAGUAAUGCCUAGGAAUCUGCCUGGUAGUGGGGGAUAACGUCCGGAAACGGGCGCUAAUACCGCAUACGUCCUGAGGGAGAAAGUGGGGGAUCUUCGGACCUCACGCUAUCAGAUGAGCCUAGGUCGGAUUAGCUAGUUGGUGGGGUAAAGGCCUACCAAGGCGACGAUCCGUAACUGGUCUGAGAGGAUGAUCAGUCACACUGGAACUGAGACACGGUCCAGACUCCUACGGGAGGCAGCAGUGGGGAAUAUUGGACAAUGGGCGAAAGCCUGAUCCAGCCAUGCCGCGUGUGUGAAGAAGGUCUUCGGAUUGUAAAGCACUUUAAGUUGGGAGGAAGGGCAGUAAGUUAAUACCUUGCUGUUUUGACGUUACCAACAGAAUAAGCACCGGCUAACUUCGUGCCAGCAGCCGCGGUAAUACGAAGGGUGCAAGCGUUAAUCGGAAUUACUGGGCGUAAAGCGCGCGUAGGUGGUUCAGCAAGUUGGAUGUGAAAUCCCCGGGCUCAACCUGGGAACUGCAUCCAAAACUACUGAGCUAGAGUACGGUAGAGGGUGGUGGAAUUUCCUGUGUAGCGGUGAAAUGCGUAGAUAUAGGAAGGAACACCAGUGGCGAAGGCGACCACCUGGACUGAUACUGACACUGAGGUGCGAAAGCGUGGGGAGCAAACAGGAUUAGAUACCCUGGUAGUCCACGCCGUAAACGAUGUCGACUAGCCGUUGGGAUCUUUGAGAUCUUAGUGGCGCAGCUAACGCGAUAAGUCGACCGCCUGGGGUAGUACGGGCCGCAAGGUUAAAACCCAAAUGAAUUGACGGGGGCCCGCACAAGCGGUUGAGCAUGUGGUUUAAUUCGAAGCAUCGCGAAGAACCCUUACCUGG
rnacentral:rRNA from 1 species